rnacentral:rRNA from 1 species
AGAUGUGAAAGCCCCGGGCUCAACCUGGGACGGUCAUUUAGAACUGGCAGACUAGAGUCUUGGAGAGGGGAGUGGAAUUCCAGGUGUAGCGGUGAAAUGCGUAGAUAUCUGGAGGAACAUCAGUGGCGAAGGCGACUCCCUGGCCAAAGACUGACGCUCAUGUGCGAAAGUGUGGGUAGCGAACAGGAUUAGAUACCCUGGUAGUCCACACCGUAAACGCUGUCUACUAACUGUUUGUGGAUUUAAUCCGUGAGUAGUGAAGCUAACGCGAUAAGUAGACCGCCUGGGGAGUACGGCCGCAAGGUUAAAACUCAAAUGAAUUGACGGGGGCCCGCACAAGCGGUGGAGCAUG